GAUGAACGCCUGGCGGCGUCGCCGUAAACACAUGUCAAGUCGAACGGGACGUGAGUUGAAAAGGAUCUUUUCGGAGUGAUUUCAUUUAGUUUAGUGGCGGACGGGUGAGUAACGCGUGGAUAACCUGCCUUUCACAGGGGGAUAGCAGCUGGAAACGGCUGGUAAUACCGCAUACGCUCAUGUCACCGCAUGGUGAGAUGAGGAAAGAUUUAUCGGUGAAAAGAUGGAUCCGCGUCUGAUUAGCCAGUUGGCGGGGUAACGGCCCACCAAAGCAACGAUCAGUAGCCGGCCUGAGAGGGCGGACGGCCACAUUGGGACUGAGACACGGCCCAGACUCCUACGGGAGGCAGCAGUGGGGGAUAUUGCACAAUGGGCGCAAGCCUGAUGCAGCGACGCCGCGUGAGUGAAGAAGUAUUUCGGUAUGUAAAGCUCUAUCAGCAGGGAAGAAAGGCCCUUUUAGGGAGAUGACGGUACCUGACUAAGAAGCCCCGGCUAACUACG
rnacentral:rRNA from 1 species